UCAAUAUUCAAACCACCUUAUUUCUGCUCCUCAUUCAGAGAUCCAUCUACUUGCAGCUGGCAAAUACGCUGAUUUUUUCUUUUUCUAUGACCUUCUCUCCUCAGAUCUCAGUCCACCACCCUGGGAUCUCCUGCCCUGUCCCCAGAAAGGGAACAUUCUGCCACCCACCCUUUGACCUCCUGCAGCUUUAACCUUGAUCCCUGCUGUUUCAGAAGCACUUUACUGGUCAAGACACAGGCAGCUGCUUAUCCUCACAGAUCUUCAGGAUGGCCAGCAGCUAUUUCUGCAAACUGGAGUAUCCUUGACUUGACAGGCAAAUACCAUCUCCUAGUAUCGAAGUAACAGAUUAGUGCCCUGAAUUUUCUGGUGCAUCAUUAAAAAAAAUUACAUCUGUCACAAGAAACAGAACAUGAUCUGCACUUGCUGGUUGUCAACAUUGCUCGUUCAUUUGCAAAUUCAAAUUACUUCAUCAAGGAGAAAUAGCUUUUAAGGAAGCAACAACCUCCCCCUUAUCCCUGCAAAGCUACUACUGGUAGUUUUUGAGAACAAGCAAGGUGUUUUCUGUUGUGGCUUAGUCUUCUCCAAUAACUAUUGUGACUCUUGCAGUUAACCUUCAAAACACUUCUUGCAUGUGCUCCUCCUUCCACUCCCAAACUGAAAUUAGUGCAACAAUUCAGCAAUGUUCUGCAGGAGGAAGAUUUUCAAGCAAGCAGGGUGGCCACCAUGGACAAUUUUAGGCAUUCAGACUUGGGGAUUAUCCUGAACUCACAAAAAAGGCUAGCAGUGAGGCUUUGAGACAGCUAGGAAGGCAGCUAUCACUAACAUGAUUGCUGCUGCUCAGGACUGGCACUGGAUACCCCUUGUUUUGGCUGUGGCACCAGAGAGCCAUUAGUGAACAGUACUGUACAGUACGGCCCAUCUUGGUGAGCGGCUGUUUUUGUAAUGAUGACCCACAGGUGGACAUUUUGAUGCCAGGUCAAUAGUCACAGCCCUACCCGGUAUGGGAGAAAUCAGACCUCAAUUGGCUGCUAUUUGGGAGAUAGGGAGUUGGUUCUUAUCCAACAGCUGAAUUAAACUUCCUAGAAAGCUGGCUGUGACACAACAGGAUGGGAUGUGAAGGGCUUAUUUCUUGACAGAGCAAACCGGGAAGGCUUCUCGGGAGCCCAGAUGGUGUUCUUCAACAAAUGAACCUCAGAAAACCUCAGCAAAGGAAACAGAACAGGAAUGAGCCUGUUCAGCAAUGGGAUAACUAGUCAGAGCAGGUCUGGGGCUCCAGAGAAAUCAUGUGGCCAAACAGAUGGUCUCAGGCAAAGUAGCUUGAGAGGUUUCCACCUCUCAGAAGUGUGAAUUCUUGGCUGCAUUUACUUCUCAUUGUUAGCCUUCAUUUUUACAAAAGCUCUGGUUUUAUUGGUCUCUGUGUGUAACACAGAUGGUACAUAAGCUUGGAUUAAUACUGAACAGGUCAUAUUUCUGGUGUUCUGUUUAGCUGG
rnacentral:lncRNA from 1 species